rnacentral:lncRNA from 1 species
UUCAUCAAAUGUUUAGGAUUAAGAUGACAAAUGGGGUAAAACAGAUAGAUUUACGUCCAUUGUUUAGGAUUAAAGGGUAUUUCUAGUAGGUGGAGGGAUUAUGUUUGCUACAGGUUUAUAUGAUUGCUUGGGAAAAGAGAUUAAUGAUGUCAUCAGUGGAGGAUUCAGCUCAUUACCGUGGCGACUCUGAUGUGCCUGCCUGCUCACAGAUGUGCUUCAAACGACGACGGGGGGGAAGGAAGGAACGUCACGCUCUGCGACGCUAUCUCUACAUCUCCACCCGCAUCUGCUGCUACCAACCAACAUCUCUCUAACCUCCCUCACCCCCCCCCCAUCCAUCCCACAUUUGUCAUGUGUGCCAUAUAGCCUUGACGUAGUUGGAAGGAACAAAGCAUGAGACAAAAGUUCCUUGCGGAUCCAAAAAUGUACUCCCCCCCACUUGUAUCCUCACUGCACGCACAAGUAUGCACACAGAGACACGCAUACACACACGCAUACGCACAUACCCCACACAUACAAACACUAACUUUCCCCCUUGCCCACAUGCAUUAUUUAUGAGCAUCAAUUCCCCUUACCUUUGAUCCCUAACCUGUGUUUUUAACAGUUCAUCCACUCUAUCCCAUAAUAGGUGACUUAUUGUGUCCCAGGCUGUGGACACAGGUGACAUGGACCGAUGGACUGAGCUGUCGAUAGAUGUCGGUUGUGUCCCAAUCAGGCACCCUGUUCUCGUGACUUUCGACCAGGGCCCAUAUAGGGAAGAGGGUGCCAUUUGGGGACACCGCCAUUGUGUUGUCAGAACCAGAAGGCCUUGUCAUCCCGGUCACUCAUCUGCUUUGACCGGGACUGAGUGACCGAGUACCAAUGACGAGCUCUAUCUGUUUGAGCAGCUCUGAUGAACCAAGAGGAUAUGAAACAGGCUUUUAGCUGCUCUCCGGAUAAUUGGAGACUAUUGCAUCUGUAAUGUUAUGCCAAUGUGAAGGGUCUUAAAGUAUGUCGAAACAAAGUUAGCACCAUUUUGUACAAGUCACAUGUUCUGUCUCAUCAUAAACACACAUGUGUUUGAACUGCACUAAAGGCUGUGAAUUUAGUCCCAGAGUUUCUUCCUUGUCGGAUCACGGUCUACGAAAAAACUCUUGACCCUACUUUAUUUAAUGUAUACACAAUA